GGCGGUGUAGCUCAGCUGGCUAGAGCGUACGGUUCAUACCCGUAAGGUCGGGGGUUCGAUCCCCUCCGCCGCUACUA
rnacentral:tRNA from 2 species